GCAUACCAGCACAGAGUAGGGCGACAAAUAUUUAUGCGCUUCAGAUGGUCACCGGAACAAUAACGUACAAGAAAAUUUUCUUCACCAAUACAAUGUGCA
rnacentral:lncRNA from 1 species